UAUACAAAAUAAAAUGUAACUUAUAUAUUUUUCGAAUAAGGCGAAUUGUUUCUACAGGCAACCAUAAAUUGCUAACUAUAAGUGAGAUAAAUAGAAUU
rnacentral:ncRNA from 2 species